GAUGAAGAACGCAGCGAAAUGCGAUAAGUAGUGUGAAUUGCAGAAUUCAGUGAAUCAUCGAAUCUUUGAACGCACAUUGCGCCCCUUGGUAUUCCAUGGGGCAUGCCUGUUCGAGCGUCAUUUGUACCCUCAAGCUUUGCUUGGUGUUGGGCGUCUUGUCGUAUUACGACUCGCCUUAAAUACAUUGGCAGCCGGCACUUUGGCCUAGGAGCGCAGCACAUUUUGCGAUCGUAGCCCGUUGUACUGGCGUCCAUCAAGAACAUUUACCACGUUUGACCUCGGAUCAGGUAGGGAUACCCGCUGAACUUAAGCAUAUCAAAAGCGGAGGA
rnacentral:misc_RNA from 1 species